rnacentral:rRNA from 1 species
GAUGAACGCUAGCGGCAGGCUUAACACAUGCAAGUUGCGGGGCAGCACGUCUUAGGAUGGUGGCGACCGGCGCACGGGUGCGUAACGCGUAUGUAACCUACCCUUUACAGGGGAAUAGCCCGAGGAAACUCGGAUUAAUACCCCAUAGUAUUAUUAAUUCGCAUGAAUUUAUAAUUAAAGCCACGGCGGUAAAGGAUGGACAUGCGUGACAUUAGCUCGUUGGUGAGGUAACGGCUCACAAAGGCUAUGAUGUCUAGGGGUCCUGAGAGGGUUCACCCCCACACUGGUACUGAGACACGGACCAGACUCCUACGGGAGGCAGCAGUGAGGAAUAUUGGUCAAUGGAGGAAACUCUGAACCAGCCAUGCCGCGUGCAGGAAGAAUGCCCUAUGGGUUGUAAACUGCUUUUAUACAGAAGGAAAGUUUCUACGUGUAGAAAUAUGACAGUACUGUAUGAAUAAGCACCGGCUAACUCCGUGCCAGCAGCCGCGGUAAUACGGAGGGUGCAAGCGUUAUCCGGAUUUAUUGGGUUUAAAGGGUGCGUAGGCGGCUCUAUAAGUCAGUGGUGAAAUCAUCAGGCUCAACCUGAUACCUGCCAUUGAAACUGUAAAGCUUGAGUAUUAUCGACGCGGGAGGAAUGCGACAAGUAGCGGUGAAAUGCUUAGAUAUGUCGCAGAACACCGAUAGCGAAGGCAUCUCGCGAGGUAAUCACUGACGCUUAGGCACGAAAGCGUGGGUAGCAAACAGG